rnacentral:rRNA from 1 species
AGAGGAUGAUCGGCCACAUUGGGACUGAGACACGGCCCAAACUCCCUUGGGAGGCAGCAGUGAGGAAUAUUGGACAAUGGACGAAAGUCUGAUCCAGCAAUGUUGCGUGAGUGAAGAAGGCUAUUUAGGUUGUAAAACUCUUUCAGUGGAAAAGAUAAUGACUUUCCGCAAAAGAAGUCCCGGCUAACUCCGUGCCAGCAGCCGCGGUAAUACGGGGGGGGCNAGCGUUAUUCGGAAUGAUUGGGCGUAAAGGGUCCGUAGGCGGUUUNNUAAGUUAGUUCUAUAANUUUAUGGGCUNAACCUNAAAAGUGAACUGAGACUAGUNAAAACUACGAGUUUGAGAGGGGAUAGUGGAAUUCCUAGUGUAAGGAUAAAAUCUCUAGAUAUUAGGAGGAACNNCAGNAGGCGAAGGCGACUAUCUGGCUCAAAACUGACGCUGAGGGACGAAAGUAUGGGUAUCAAAUGGGAUUAGAGACCCCAGUAGUCCAUACCGUAAACGAUGAGUGUUUUGGAUUCGGGUCCGAAAAAUUUAAUAGCCAGUAAUUUCAUGUAAAUUAGAGGCGGACAAGUGCCAAGGUUGAUUACCUAUAUACGGUAUCUUAUCCUUAAUGAUUAGGUUUGAUCAGGUAAUUUUGAGAAAAAAUAUAACCAUUCUUAUUGCUAGACAAUUAUAGGAUUCCGAGUACAAAAAUUAUAUAUUUUUAAUAAGCUAACGCGUUAAACACUCCGCCUGGGGAGUACAGUCGCAAGACCGAAACUCAAAGGAAUUGACGGGGGCNCACACAAGCGGUGGGGUAUGUGGUUUAAUGCGAUGAUACGCGCAAAACCUUACCAGCUCUUGCAUCUGACAUGUUGAUGAAAUAGAUUUCAUCUUAAUAAAGUCAGACAGGUGUUGCAUGGCUGUCGUCAGCUCGUGUUGUGAAAUGUUUGGUUAAUUCCCUUAACGAGCGAAACCCUUGUGGUUAGAAGGGCUUUUUGAUAUAAAGAAAGCUAUUUAAUCCUACUGCCAUUAAUAAAUUAGAGGAGGGUGAGGAUGACGUCAAGUCCGCAUGGCCCUUAUGGGCUGGGCUACACACAUGCUACAAUGGCAAUUACAAUGAGAAGCAAUGGUGCGAGCCGGAGCAAUCUAUAACUGUUGCCUUAGUUCGGAUUGUAGGCUGCAACUCGCCUACAUGAAGUUGGAAUCGCUAGUAAUCGUAGAUCAGNACGCUACGGUGAAUUUGUACCUGGGCUUUGUACACACCGCCCGUCACACUCUGGAAGUUGUUCUUAAUUGAAGCUUAUAACCUAACCUUUUUGGAGGGUGUAUGUGAGAUUGAGGGGAGCGACUGGAGUGAAGUCGUAACAAGGUAGCUGUAGGGGAACCUGCUGCU